AUACGAAGGGGGCUAGCGUUGUUCGGAAUUACUGGGCGUAAAGCGCGCGUAGGCGGACUGAUCAGUUGGGGGUGAAAUCCCAGGGCUUAACCCUGGAACUGCCUCCAAUACUGUCAGUCUUGAGUUCGGGAGAGGUGAGUGGAAUUCCUAGUGUAGAGGUGAAAUUCGUAGAUAUUAGGAAGAACACCAGUGGCGAAGGCGGCUCACUGGCCCGAUGCUGACGCUGAGGCGUGAAAGCGUGGGGAGCAAACAGGAUUAGAUACCCUAGUAGUCC
rnacentral:rRNA from 1 species